rnacentral:lncRNA from 1 species
AGGAAAAAAAUAUGAAAAUGGAAAAAAGUUGGUGGUGGUGACUUUUGGGAGAGAAAUGUUUUUUUUUUUGUUUUGAUUUAGGUUUGGAGAAGAGGGGUUGGAUGAUAUUUUUUCAGAAUUUUGGGGGGCUAGAAAGUAUGAAAAAUGAGGGGGAAUAAUGCAUCUAUUUAUAGAGAAAGUAAGUGGGAAAGUGGGGGGGAA